AAGUCGUAACAAGGUUUCCGUAGGUGAACCUGCGGAAGGAUCAUUACAGAGAACAUGCCCUUUAGGGGGUAUAUCUCCCACCCUUUGUUUACAAUACCUUUGUUGCUUUGGUGGGCCCGUCUUUUAGACCACCGGCCUUGGCUGGUCUGUGCCCACCAGAGGACCAAACAAUUCCUUUUAUUAUGUUGUCUGAGUCUAAAUAAUUUUUAUAAAACUUUCAACAACGGAUCUCUUGGUUCUGGCAUCGAUGAAGAACGCAGCGAAAUGCGAUAAGUAAUGUGAAUUGCAGAAUUCAGUGAAUCAUCGAAUCUUUGAACGCAUAUUGCGCCCUUUGGUAUUCCGAAGGGCAUGCCUGUUCGAGCGUCAUUAUCAACCAUCAAGCCUGGCUUGUCGUUGGACCCCUUUACCGCUGAAAUAUGUGGUAGGUCCGAAAGAUAAUGACGGCGUCGUGUUUGACCCUAGAUGCAACGAGCUUUUAAUAGCACGCAUUGAAGUGGUCGACCGACCCAGUCUUUAACCAUCAUUUUCUAAGGUUGACCUCGGAUCAGGUAGGAAUACCCGCUGAACUUAA
rnacentral:rRNA from 1 species